rnacentral:lncRNA from 1 species
UGAGGGACUAUUGAUGCUUUUGGUAUCAGCAGCCACAGAAUUCAUCAGACACAGCACAAAAGAGCAGGAGAAGAGAUAAUGGCAGAUGCCAGAAGGUUGUCCAGCUGGUUACUACCUCUCCUCUUCACCUGAUUAUACCUGAUUACUGCUGACUCGAUGGGCAGGGAGAGUCGCUGACUCCUGACAGAAAGACUCUGUCACCCCUUGCCAUUUAUUUUAGAUCCUGUGAAUCCUACUGUCAAUGUUGUGACACCUGCAAUGCCUGGGAUGAAGCUGCCCAUGUGGUGAGAUGCAGCCUGUGGAAGCCUCUUUUCAGUGGAGUGAGAGCCAAGCCCCCUUGGCUUUUCAUAGACAAUUGGUGAACGGGACAAGGAGACACUGUCCUUGGAUGUCUGAAAAAAAAAGAAAAAGGUUGCAAAACAUGUUGCCAAUAAGAAUGUUGUAGAUGAAAGGCAGGAUGAAGGAAAGUGGUCUUAAUUUAAAUUCUCUAUUUUACUAAACCUACUCUUUAACAAAUAUGUUUAUGUGAGGCAUCAGAAGCAAAUGUAUUUUGGCUUUUAAGAGAAUUAAAAUUGUUUCCCCUAUUUUUUUAUUUGUUUGCUUUGGUGGCUUUGUGACCAAAAAAAUUGUUUUAAUCCAAAUAGCCACAAUAAAUAAAUAAGCAAAUGAAUAAAAUUCCCAGGUCAUUUGAGAGAAAAGAUUAACUGAAAAGGUAAAGCAUCUCCCCCUUUUUAGUUUCAGUUAAUUAUAGUGUCAGGAUGACUUUUUAACUUACCUGGCAAUCUGGAACCUCAUAGAGUCACUUGCGUUUUCAAAAUUUCCAUGUGAAAACAUGAUUGUGCCAAGUACUCCCUAUUAACUUUUAGACAUCAUCUAUAAAAUCACUACAGGAAAAUAUGGAAAUAUCUGAGAGAUACACAGUGGAUCGCCUCAGAAUAAAUCGUUCCCCAAAUCAUUUUAUGACUGCCUGAGUCGGGACUCAUGGGUCAGAGUAGAGUCAUAGUUAAGGUUUGCAACUGGCUUAGUAGCAAGAGGGGAUAAACAAACUAUCCAGGCUGUUGAACUGUCCAGUUUCGCUACAACUGUAUUUACUUGUUGGGAUCAACUGUUUUCUUUCCUAUUAAGGUAUUAGUAGCCACUGAUAAUGGAAGCCAGGGCCCGCUAGAAAUAGACCAGAGGAAAUUUCCUGACUCACUUGCAUAACAACAGUUCAUCAGCACUGAAGAUAUAUGAAGUGUGACUGCAGAGUAAUGGGAGUGAUUAGGUUUCUCUGCACAACAAAACUCUUACAUACAAAUGAGCACUGUCCCCUUCAGGACAGUCCUCAGGGAACCCGUAUGCUUAUUCCGGUGUGUGAUUGGUCUGGAAGCAUUUUUGGAUGCCCUCUGGACAGAAAGUGCUUUUGGACACUGUUAGUGGUGACAAAGUGUGUCCUUUGAGGAUGGAUUAGAUUGUUGGAAAUGAUACAAUGUAUUCACAGUAUACAUCUGUUGUUUUUGUCUACCCAGAAGCCUCUGUCCAAACUUGUGGUUGGAGAGGCUGUAUUUCUUCUGUCGUUCAUUCUGUCUUUGAAGGCUCUCGAGGAGAAAAUAGCUUUUAAUAUCUCUUGGGAAAUGGCCACAUUUUCCCCUGGCAAUUGAACCCAUGGCUUUCUUGAAUGACUACUCCUCAACCAGGUCUAAGUUGUUUAGGUAGGCUGACUUGACCACCAGUUCCAGAGCACAGACAUGUGACGAGCCUGGCCAUAGUCAUUGAUUCAGGGAUGGACACAUGACUGAAACGGCAUGCUGGCAUUUAGUUCUGGUACUUGGAUUUUAACUGUUGGGAGGAGAAUUUCUCACUCUGCUAUGAUAUAAGCAUGAAGCUACUGGCUUCCACUUGCUGCUACAAAGAGCCUGCUUAAAAAUGGAGCCAACAUAAAAGGAAGCAGAUUUAAGACCUGAGCGAUGAGAGCGUGCACAUGUGUGUAUAUCCACAUAAUGAGACUAAGUCUUGAUUUCUGCACCUUGAUCCAGAUAUACCUGGAGCAGAAACUCUGCUGGGACUCUUUUGUAUCAUGAGCCAGUAACCUCCCUAUUUGCCUAGUAGGUUGAUUUGGGCUUCAAUCUUGCAACCAAGUGAGUCCUGACUAAACCAGCAGAAUGGAGCCAGGUAAGGUUCUUUCUCAAGAAGAGAAGAAGGAAGGUAUCAAGACGUUUAUGACAAAUUUCUACUCAACACUGAGCACCUGCUAAGUGCUGGGCCUAAUAGUCGAGAUGCUGCAAUGAACUAGUCCAUUCAGGAUGCUGAGGUGUUUCAGCCUAGAAGAGACUGCUUUUCUUCCUUUGCUCAUGCAGACUCAGGGGGCCAUUCUCAAGGAGGAGUUAGUGACAGGAAUGUCUUUGGCAAAGACAGCACUCUUGAGUGUGGUCAGAACAUGUUAUUUAUUUCCCAAGAUGAUUAGUUUUUGAAGAAGACAACAAAUAGUUGAGGCUAUGAAUUCUAUCUCUGUAAAAAUAGAGUUAUGUUUUCCUCCUGUAGUCAGAUCUCCUGUGGAACGUGAGUAAACAGGAAUUUCUAUGUAUGGAGCAAGGACAGUAUGGUUAGCACAUAAUACAUGUGUUUAUUUCAGAGCUGGGGAGGACUCCUGACCAGCGUGACACCUAACAUUGGAGUGAAGGGGCAGCAGACCUCUCCAGCCACGUGAAACGGAAUGGGAAAUACUCUUCUCCUACCACCAACUUGGCCACUCUCCAGUGACGAGGUUUCAGAAGCAGUGCAUUUUCAAGUUUCUGCCUCAGAAGAGAUCCAGUUUGGCAUUCUGUCUAAGUUCACUGCACAGAGACGGGUUUGGCUCUGUGAUUCAUCAGAAAUAAGAAAAACAAACACUGUAAAUGGAGAACUUGAAAAAGAGGUGGGCACCAUCUCCCCACCCAAGAGAAUGGAUUUAAGAGGAAAUUUGUUUAUGGGAUGAAGUUUUAAAAGGCGACCUGGAAAAUUUAGCAAAGAUGUAAAUAAACAACUCUUCCUUGGAUUGCAUUAGGCUUCAGAAUAAAUAUAUUAACCAGCUUCAGUCAAAGUCUGCCUAGAAUCUGACCCUGACAAGACCCAGUGACUAGUGCUGCUCCGAACCUUCCCCACCAACAGCAGGCAAUUUUCUCUGUGGCAAAGCUACCUCGAAACAGGCAUCCAGGCUUCCCUCCCACGAAGUGAAGAUGAGAAAACUGAGUCUCAGAAUGGACAAGCUCACAGAUGGCAAGUGGUAGAGCAGACUUCACACAUAGCCAUCUGAGUGAGAUGGGAAGCUGAUCCUCCAGCCCUGAUCAAGCCUUCAAAUGACUGCACCUCCAGCUGACAGAUUACCAAAAGCAACCUCCUUCCAGAAGACCUUGAGCCAAAACCACUCAGCUAAGCUACUUCCAGAUCCCUGAUCCUCGGAAACUGUGCGAGACAAUAAAUGUUUAAAUGGCCACCCACUUUGGAAUAAAGAGGACAUAUAAUUUGCCUAAGGUCACAUAGCACUCUCUAAAUCAGUACAGUAUUUUAGACAAAGCUUCAACUUUGCACUUUUAUGGGUCAUUUUGAUAUAAGACUACAAGGAUAUCUCCUCCCAUGACAAACUUGACUUCAUUUACAACAAAAGGCCAAGCAAGAUACAGUACACUGUGGGGAUAAAUGGUACUCACUGAGGACAGGAAUAUGCUGACAUUAUCUCAAUUUCCUCCUCCCUCCUGUUGUUCUCCUUUGGAUGCUUUCCUGGACUAUAGGGAGAAGGAAAAUAGAGAAAGGCCAACUGCGACUAGGCCAGAGAUCAGAUGUUACCUUGUAGGAAGCAUCUCAUUCUAACCUUAAGUACUCUCUUGAUGAAGUACGGGGCCAAGAGAUUUUGGAAUUCUACCACACAAGGUUGCUCAGCAUUCCAAGAAGUAUUGAUAACUCUUCAAGAGCAAAAGUCAUUUAAAUUAAACUUCUCUGGCCGGGCAUGGUAGCUCAUAUCUGUAAACCCAGCACUUUGGGA